AUGUCGGAGAUGCUGCUGCUGCACGGGCUGACGGGGAAGAACAAGCAGGUGUGGAAGGAGGGAAAGAUCCGCGGCACGUCGGUGCUGGUCAAGAGCGGCAUGCUCAACCUCGGCGACUUCAACUCAUCCGUCCUCGACGGCGUCCACAAGAUCCUCGACGGCCAAGGACGAUGGCGUCUCCUUCCAUCUCGUCAGCGCCACCACACCCAACCCCCGGAGAUGAAAUCAACGAUGGCAGGGGAGUCAGUUUUUCCGGGUCAUGUUUGA
rnacentral:rRNA from 1 species